rnacentral:rRNA from 1 species
UACGAAGGGGGCUAGCGUUGUUCGGAAUUACUGGGCGUAAAGCGCGCGCAGGCGGCCAUUCAAGUCAGGGGUGAAAGCCCAGAGCUCAACUCUGGAACUGCCCUUGAAACUGUAUGGCUUGAGUAUGAGAGAGGUGAGUGGAAUUCCCAGUGUAGAGGUGAAAUUCGUAGAUAUUGGGAAGAACACCGGUGGCGAAGGCGGCUCACUGGCUCACUACUGACGCUCAGGCGCGACAGCGUGGGGAUCAAACAGG